rnacentral:rRNA from 1 species
UACGGGGGGGGCAAGCGUUGUUCGGAAUUACUGGGCGUAAAGGGCUCGUAGGCGGCCAACUAAGUCGGAUGUGAAAUCCCCAGGCUCAACCUGGGAACUGCAUCCGAUACUGGAUGGCUUGAAUCCGGGAGAGGGAUGCAGAAUUCCAGGUGUAGCGGUGAAAUGCGUAGAUAUCUGGAGGAAUACCGGUGGCGAAGGCGGGUCUCUGGGCCGAUACUGACGCUGAGGAGCGAAAGCGUGGGGAGCAAACAGG